GGUUAAGCGACUAAGCGUACACGGUGGAUGCCCUGGCAGUCAGAGGCGAUGAAGGACGUGCUAAUCUGCGAUAAGCGUCGGUAAGGUGAUAUGAACCGUUAUAACCGGCGAUUUCCGAAUGGGGAAACCCAGUGUGUUUCGACACACUAUCAUUAACUGAAUCCAUAGGUUAAUGAGGCGAACCGGGGGAACUGAAACAUCUAAGUACCCCGAGGAAAAGAAAUCAACCGAGAUUCCCCCAGUAGCGGCGAGCGAACGGGGAGCAGCCCAGAGCCUGAAUCAGUGUGUGUGUUAGUGGAAGCGUCUGGAAAGGCGCGCGAUACAGGGUGACAGCCCCGUACACAAAAAUGCACAUGCUGUGAGCUCGAUGAGUAGGGCGGGACACGUGGUAUCCUGUCUGAAUAUGGGGGGACCAUCCUCCAAGGCUAAAUACUCCUGACUGACCGAUAGUGAACCAGUACCGUGAGGGAAAGGCGAAAAGAACCCCGGCGAGGGGAGUGAAAAAGAACCUGAAACCGUGUACGUACAAGCAGUGGGAGCACGCUUAGGCGUGUGACUGCGUACCUUUUGUAUAAUGGGUCAGCGACUUAUAUUCUGUAGCAAGGUUAACCGAAUAGGGGAGCCGAAGGGAAACCGAGUCUUAACUGGGCGUUAAGUUGCAGGGUAUAGACCCGAAACCCGGUGAUCUAGCCAUGGGCAGGUUGAAGGUUGGGUAACACUAACUGGAGGACCGAACCGACUAAUGUUGAAAAAUUAGCGGAUGACUUGUGGCUGGGGGUGAAAGGCCAAUCAAACCGGGAGAUAGCUGGUUCUCCCCGAAAGCUAUUUAGGUAGCGCCUCGUGAAUUCAUCUCCGGGGGUAGAGCACUGUUUCGGCAAGGGGGUCAUCCCGACUUACCAACCCGAUGCAAACUGCGAAUACCGGAGAAUGUUAUCACGGGAGACACACGGCGGGUGCUAACGUCCGUCGUGAAGAGGGAAACAACCCAGACCGCCAGCUAAGGUCCCAAAGUCAUGGUUAAGUGGGAAACGAUGUGGGAAGGCCCAGACAGCCAGGAUGUUGGCUUAGAAGCAGCCAUCAUUUAAAGAAAGCGUAAUAGCUCACUGGUCGAGUCGGCCUGCGCGGAAGAUGUAACGGGGCUAAACCAUGCACCGAAGCUGCGGCAGCGACGCUUAUGCGUUGUUGGGUAGGGGAGCGUUCUGUAAGCCUGUGAAGGUGUACUGUGAGGUAUGCUGGAGGUAUCAGAAGUGCGAAUGCUGACAUAAGUAACGAUAAAGCGGGUGAAAAGCCCGCUCGCCGGAAGACCAAGGGUUCCUGUCCAACGUUAAUCGGGGCAGGGUGAGUCGACCCCUAAGGCGAGGCCGAAAGGCGUAGUCGAUGGGAAACAGGUUAAUAUUCCUGUACUUGGUGUUACUGCGAAGGGGGGACGGAGAAGGCUAUGUUGGCCGGGCGACGGUUGUCCCGGUUUAAGCGUGUAGGCUGGUUUUCCAGGCAAAUCCGGAAAAUCAAGGCUGAGGCGUGAUGACGAGGCACUACGGUGCUGAAGCAACAAAUGCCCUGCUUCCAGGAAAAGCCUCUAAGCAUCAGGUAACAUCAAAUCGUACCCCAAACCGACACAGGUGGUCAGGUAGAGAAUACCAAGGCGCUUGAGAGAACUCGGGUGAAGGAACUAGGCAAAAUGGUGCCGUAACUUCGGGAGAAGGCACGCUGAUAUGUAGGUGAAGUCCCUUGCGGAUGGAGCUGAAAUCAGUCGAAGAUACCAGCUGGCUGCAACUGUUUAUUAAAAACACAGCACUGUGCAAACACGAAAGUGGACGUAUACGGUGUGACGCCUGCCCGGUGCCGGAAGGUUAAUUGAUGGGGUUAGCGCAAGCGAAGCUCUUGAUCGAAGCCCCGGUAAACGGCGGCCGUAACUAUAACGGUCCUAAGGUAGCGAAAUUCCUUGUCGGGUAAGUUCCGACCUGCACGAAUGGCGUAAUGAUGGCCAGGCUGUCUCCACCCGAGACUCAGUGAAAUUGAACUCGCUGUGAAGAUGCAGUGUACCCGCGGCAAGACGGAAAGACCCCGUGAACCUUUACUAUAGCUUGACACUGAACAUUGAGCCUUGAUGUGUAGGAUAGGUGGGAGGCUUUGAAGUGUGGACGCCAGUCUGCAUGGAGCCGACCUUGAAAUACCACCCUUUAAUGUUUGAUGUUCUAACGUGGACCCGUGAUCCGGGUUGCGGACAGUGUCUGGUGGGUAGUUUGACUGGGGCGGUCUCCUCCUAAAGAGUAACGGAGGAGCACGAAGGUUGGCUAAUCCUGGUCGGACAUCAGGAGGUUAGUGCAAUGGCAUAAGCCAGCUUGACUGCGAGCGUGACGGCGCGAGCAGGUGCGAAAGCAGGUCAUAGUGAUCCGGUGGUUCUGAAUGGAAGGGCCAUCGCUCAACGGAUAAAAGGUACUCCGGGGAUAACAGGCUGAUACCGCCCAAGAGUUCAUAUCGACGGCGGUGUUUGGCACCUCGAUGUCGGCUCAUCACAUCCUGGGGCUGAAGUAGGUCCCAAGGGUAUGGCUGUUCGCCAUUUAAAGUGGUACGCGAGCUGGGUUUAGAACGUCGUGAGACAGUUCGGUCCCUAUCUGCCGUGGGCGCUGGAGAACUGAGGGGGGCUGCUCCUAGUACGAGAGGACCGGAGUGGACGCAUCACUGGUGUUCGGGUUGUCAUGCCAAUGGCACUGCCCGGUAGCUAAAUGCGGAAGAGAUAAGUGCUGAAAGCAUCUAAGCACGAAACUUGCCCCGAGAUGAGUUCUCCCUGACUCCUUGAGAGUCCUGAAGGAACGUUGAAGACGACGACGUUGAUAGGCCGGGUGUGUAAGCGCAGCGAUGCGUUGAGCUAACCGGUACUAAUGAACCGUGAGGCUUAACCUU
rnacentral:rRNA from 1 species